AACGAUAAUCGCUGCUGCUGUUGAUUUUAAAGAUGUCUCGACUGCUCCGACUAUGAUGGCGUGUAAAGGAUCCAAAGACAAUAUAUGCAACUGACGGAUGCAGGAGACUUGUAACAAAGCGGUGCCUCGAUCAAUCAAUAUUCUGUCCCCUUCUCGGCACACGCGUGGCAAUUCAGAGUAAGAAAUCCAGAAACAUUUAGCAGACCCUCCGCGUUUUGCUAUAUCGUCGGUUACCAAUUUCACCAAUUUACCCUCUUCUAAUUUAGCGUAUCCCUACAAAUAUCAAUGUUCGUCUACACACGACAGUGAAAAAUUGCCGAUAAUUUAAAUGAA